UUGUUGUUGGUGAUAGGCAGGUGUGCCAC
rnacentral:sRNA from 1 species